GGUCGAUAAGCCAUCAUGGAUGAUGUCAAGUUCUUGUUUAUGUCAGAGAAUCAAAAGCAAGGGGUUUGGCGGUGUUCAUCGAUGGCAACCAGCAAACUGAAGAGCCCUGCUGAGAUAUUUCAUUACAAAAAUCCAUCGCGAGGUUAAAAAAUGGCGCAAGAAAUAUUGGCAAUAGCAAAAAACGAAUACAAAGCGGCCCGAUUCGGAUACACUCAGCGCGGCUACAUGAUGCUGCUCCAUAAUGGUUACGGAUUCAUCAAAGAUCGCCAAUCGUCCAAUACUUGUAAUUGGAAGUGCUCACUCUACCGGAGAUUGAAGUGUCGAGCACGAGCCAUCACCAAAACCAUCGACGGAAAACGACUGAUGAAGAUUACUCACGCGGAGCAUACCCACGACCGAUCCGAGUAUCGAGUAGAACUGUGAGCUCGUCGGUCGGGUUCGAAUGUUUGGUUAUUUUUUUCUGACACUAUUAUUGAAAAGUGAGAUAAAUAGAAUGCGCAGAAUUUAUUGCUCAUAAUGUGUUACGCAACACAACCAAAACUGUAACUGUAGUAGAAUAGGUUUUCUGAAUUCUUAAGUGUGUAUUCGAUUUGGUCGUUCUCGAAAAGCCAGAUUCAGAAUCCCAAUACCAAAUUCGAAGGCCGAAAAAGGUACAAAUUUAAAUAUUCAUUCAAAGUAGUGUUUUCGAAUCAAUCGUCGUAACCAACAGGUUAUAUUUACUCUAGUACCUCGUUAUUUUACAAUUACUUGAUUUUGUUUUUCAUUGUUUUACAGAAUACUUAUUGUAAUACUUAUUUGUCAUUAGAAUGUAGUACUAGAAUAGUAUCUAAAGAAACGUCCCUAAUCAACAAAGUACAUUCAAGAUAUGGUUCUCCAGCUAGCCUUGCGAUCAAAGGCAAGGGCCUGUCAAUCUGAAGAUAGCUUAGGGUGUUUUCAGGUAGGAAAAAUUCUCGAUUACCUGGAAAUACUGUAUCUAUUGAAUUUGCCACAAAAGAUAGAUAUUCAUGCAAUUGGUAGUCAUAGAGAAACCUGUUGGAAAUGUUAACAGAAAACCACUGAAGAAGAAGGGGGAUUCAAGAUGUUUUAAUAUGCGAUAUCUUUCCGGAUGAAACCCAACCACGAUAAGUGUUAUUGCGGACAAUAAAUGAAGCAAAAUACACAACAUACAUGCUUUUACAUUUAGUGAAGUACUUCACCUAAUACUGCAAUAUAAGAAUCCAACUGAUAACCCAUCGGGAUAGCAUGGUCGUGAAGUACACCCACAAGAGCCAUACGCACCCGAACGAGUACAGCGAUGAGUCGAAGAUCAACCGGAUAGAGAUCGAUAUCAAUGAGUUCUACAACAAACCUGUGGGUGGGGCUGCCUUUGAAGUGAAGAAAGAAACGGAGUAUUGUGCGUAAUUUGAAAUUAUCAUAUUUUGAAGGGGAUUUUGACAUCUAUUUCUCGUUGGAUAGUCUGUAAUUGGAUCGAAGUGCAAAUUUGCUUUUAUAAGCAAUACAUGAAGUGUCAAUUUUGUUAUCAAUUUUCAAUAAUUGUUCGAAAUGCUACAUUAAUUCAUUUUUAGUUCGAUUAUUUUUCAAAUUAAAUCGAUUAGAAAAAAAAGUAUUCAAUUUUAACCCAUCAUUUAUUACGUAUUGCACAUUGUUGUUGAAAAAAAAAACAAUUAUUGAAUGAUGUGAAACAACCUAACCGACUCUACGUAUGAAGCAAUAGAUAGGUAUACAAAGAGCUUUCAAUUAUUUUCCUAUUUUUUUUUCAACUGAGGAGAAUAAGUUUAUAUGUAUUCUAACCGCAUUUGUUUGCAUUUUGUUUUUUUUUCAGAACCUGAUAACAACCAGCACACGAGGAAACAGCAACUGCUACAAUAUCUGAAACCAUUCGAACGAACGCCCAAAUCGCCGGGCAAGCUGUCCGCUGUGGAUGGGUUUUCCUUUCCGGUUUACACCGCCGAUGAAGUCGAACGGCUGGAGGAAGCCGUACGAUCGAGCAGAAAAAUACGAUCCCAGUACGUGGCUUUUUUGGCCGAGCGGAAACCUCGCUACAUGGACAUCCCGGAGUGCUUUUCCAAGUUCUUCACCGACGAAGCGAUGACACCCUACGCGUGGCACGGGUGCAAGAAUCCACGGUUUCCACGUAGGGCGAUGAAAACGAUGGAUAUCUUCUCCGACUGUAUGCUAGAGGCCUGGAAGAAAUUUGGCGUUACUUCCUUCGAAGACCUUGCAGACGUUCUAUCAAAAGUGACGACGAAAAUCGCCGGUCGUCGUAGAUCUAACAACUACAAUCAACGGAAACGCAUUCAGCAAUUUUGCGACAAACAUAAUAAAUAGAAAGCAUUUUUCUCUAUCGGUUUUAUUUUUUAUGUUUGUUUCUUUUCUUUUCUGUCCCAAAGGUCUUUUGAUAAUGAAAAAGGUAAGAAAUAAGAAGUAAAUGAAUAAAUAGAUAAAAUCAAAAAACUUAUCGGCUUAUUUUUUCUAGUGAAGCACAAAUUUUUAUUUUUGGGAAAAUUUGAGUGUUAAAAAUGUCUGUCUCUAAAAUCAUUUUCAAAUAUUCAUUGGCCAAUCAUUAAAUUUUUCAGACACCAGGAGUGAUAAAAAGUUCAGACCAUUGUUUCCAAUAACAGAUCAAGAUAAACUACAAUAUGUUUACCGUGCCAUUUCUCAAAAUGUGAAUGAUGUCCCGGGAUCCAAGUUUCCCAUAUAAAACGAAUGUGAUAUCGAACGCUUGGAGGAAACUAUACGAAUUUCUUAUUCAGUACGGUGUAAGCUCGGGAUUGUGGUCAUGGUAUUGCAUACGAAUGCUAAUUUGAUUUCACAUCAUUUGCCAUAGAUCAAUCACCUUCAUCGUAUCAAACAGAUGGGUAAGACCUUACCGAUUGAAACUCUCUUCAAGUUUGUGUUCUAUGAUACGUCAAAUAAAAAACUGCAUCGAUGAUAUUGGUUUAUAAUUUAAUUCAUGUAACGCAACUUCUGUUUGAAAUUGAAGAAAAGUCUUUGAUAUAGUUUUAAAUUACUUACGGGAUAUUCACUCAUUUUUUUCAGAUCUACACUGCAAAGUAAAAAGGAGAUCCUUUUUAAUAAUUACAAAACAAGAGAAAUCCGAUCGUUUUAAACAAACUGAACAACAAUCAGUUCAACGUUCAAUUGCUCAAAAUGGAAAUGAAGUACCGGGAUUUAAAUUUCCCAUAGAAACCGAGAGUGACAUCGAGCGCCUGGAGAAAACUAUCCAAAGUUCACCUUCAAUACGGCAAAAAUACAUCAACCACCUUCGUCAAACCAAACGGAUGGGUAAGGAUCUACCGAUCGACGCCAUAUUCAAGUUGAUUUUUUACGACGAGGCCCUCAUCGGAUACAACUAUAAUGGAUACUGCAAUAGACGCCAUCAGAAGAAACAUGCGAUGAAAAAUUAUGCCAUUUUCUCAUCCUGUUUUUACGAGGCCUGGUUAGAGUUUGGAGUUACGGAGAAAGCUAUCCGUUUGAUGUUGUGCAAAGUAGUGCGCAAUGUACAUGGUCGCAACCGUUUUCGUCGUUACAAGGACCGUAUUCGCGAGCAGAAACUUUAUGAAACAGUUCAUGUAGAGGAUUCAGAUUCCGAAUAAAUUUUACUGACAAUAUUUUAUAUUUCCCUUCAUAAGUUGUCUGUGAACGUGGCCACUAAUGGAAUCUUAUUCCGUUGGCGUCGUAUAUACCAUUCGGAACAAUUCCCUCAUACGGCUUAGAGUUUACAUUAGUCAAGAAUAUUAAAUUUUAAGAUAACUGCGAAGAAAACCAAAUCGAUCUUCUAAAAAAUUACCAGCUGUGUCGCGUGCAGCAACGUACAUCUUUAAAUCAUAGCCGCAUAAUCUAGUACUUCCUUAACGCGUUCCUUUUUUGGCUUUUCAGCGAUCUUUUUGGACCAAUUUCAAUCACAUUCAGACCACACGUCGCCACAGUUUAGCUUCAAAACAUCCCAGCGAAGCGGUCGUCACUUGCUGGUGGUGAACGGGGUGACAUUCUUCCGAAAUCGGCAUCGUAACAACAAGCAGUACUGGAAGUGCAACCAGUACUACAAGUGUAAAUGUCCGUGCAUUGUGGUGAUUGACGAAGUAAACUCGCGAAUGAACGUAAAGCACGCCCAUAAUCACGAGUUAUCGGGCGUUUCCAGCAGUAAAAGUAGCAAUGAUUUACUUCCCGUGUCAGAUCCUCGUUUAUCGGCCUUCGCGGGAUCCUUACUAAACGAUACACUUCUCAGUAGAAGUAACAACGUGCUGGCUUCCAUAUCGUCUUUCGCUCAAACUGGGCAAUCUAGAUAUUAUGCGAACAAGAGGGAAUAAAAACAACUUAAGUUUGUUACACAAGGUGUCUACGAAAUUCGAGAUAUUGUCCGGCCGAGAUUUUUGCAGCAUACGGCGGAAAUGGAGUUGGCUCAAUUCGGAAUAAACCAAAGGGGCGGCAAAAAGCUGGUAUGCCACGGAUACGACUACGUGAAGGAUCGAGAUUUUCCAGAUUCGACAAACUGGCGCUGUGCGCUGUUUCGACGCCAGAAGUGCCGUGCUCGCGCCAUAACCAAGGUUAUCGAGGGCUACUCCUACGUCAGAUUGACAAACGAUGCUCACAAUCAUUAGGAUCUAAUGUAUCGUUUUGCGGUAGAUGUUCCAAGAAAAAUAUACGCAACAUUCAAUUGAUCCGCAUCACAGUUUAUAAUCUUUCUAGUCUCUUAAAUGUCCAAACAUCGAUUAGAAUAACACCGAACUGAUACUAUUUAUGUUUUUAGGUAUCUUCGAACCGGCAGUGUUCGGUACCACCCGUCGAGGGCAACAAAAACUGAUACACAACGGGCACGCGUACACCAAGGAUAGACAGUCGUCCAAGACGUGCAACUGGAAAUGCUCCCUGUUCACCCGGUACAAAUGCAAGGCCCGAGCCGUAACGCGUGACAUUAACGGGUUGAUACACGUGAAAGUCACCAACUCUUUGCACUAUCAUCCGGUGGAGCAGUACAAGAUCAGCUACCGUCGCUUGAGCGUCAAUUCGAUGACACUAUCGAAUAGUUUUAUGUCCAACGUUAAGGAACAGCCGUUUUGAGUCCGGUGUUUGUUUGCAAUAUUUUUGUCUAGCUAGUAAAGUAAAGCUAUAAGGAAGUCUCCGAUUCCUUGCACGAAGUAUGGAAAAUAUAAUUUUGCAAUCAAUCGCAAA